AUACGUAGGGGGCGAGCGUUUUCCGGAUUUAUUGGGCGUAAAGCGUGUGUAGGCGGUUUGUUAAGUUUAAGAUUAAAGCCCGAGGCUUAACCUCGGUUCGUCUUAAAAACUGGCAGACUUGAGUGCAGUAGAGGCAAGUGGAAUUUCUAGUGUAGCGGUUAAAUGCGUAGAUAUUAGAAGGAACACCAGUGGCGAAGGCGGCUUGCUGGGCUGUUACUGACGCUGAGACACGAAAGCGUGGGGAGCAAAUAGGAUUAGAUACCCUAGUAGUCCACGCCGUAAACGAUGAGUACUAAGUGUCGGGUAACCGGUGCUGAAGUUAACACAUUAAGUACUCCGCCUGAGUAGUACGGUCGCAAGGCUGAAACUUAAAGGAAUUGACGGGG
rnacentral:rRNA from 1 species